rnacentral:lncRNA from 1 species
AGUCAGUUUUUGAACGAUGGAGUCAGAUCCCACUUGAAAUCAAAAAGGAGGCUGGACAGCGGAUGAAAAUCUGUGUCUUUUGGCUUCCUAUUCUAUUGCAGCGGGACGAGUCCAGCAAUGCUGUUUGCUGGGCUGCAGAAAUAGGUCUAAUCAGCUCAAAGAACACAGAGGACCUACGUCUGAAGCACCUGCGCAAGAUUGAGACAGUGGAGACAAUCCUCAGAGCCUUGGAGCAAGGAUCUUUGAAAAAGGACCAAAGCAAACAUGUUAAACUUGCAUCGCACCGUUGAGGUUUUGGAUGAUGCCUUACACUGGUUGGAGCAAACGGAAGAACCUGACGUACGCACUCGCCUGAUGGAUCUCGGCCACGGACACACCUGCUUCACAGCUCUUCACUUUAUCUUCACAGAGUGUAGGUUACAGUCAUGCUCAGCGCUCUGCUUUCAUCCACUCACUCUUCUCGUCAUUCAUGUGAAGCUAUUGAUUCUUGUUUUGUUUAGUUGCCAAGUAUAUUCAAGACAUGGGAGGACGCCAUGAAAAGACCAUGAAGUCACUGAUGGCUAAACCUGGAAGUUAUUCUAUAGAAUAAAUAAUAUAAUAUUAUAUUUAUAUAAUAAUAU